CUUAAUAUUUUUGUUGAAGCCUUUCAAGUUUCUACAGUUAAUCUUGGUCUUCUUAUCCAUUAGGAAGAAAACUGACAAAUCCAGUGUUUUUGUUUUUGUUUUUUUUUUUGUUUGUUUGUUUGUUUGUUUUGGCAAAGGGUACAGAUUGCUGUCAAUACCUGCAGAGAUAAAACCUGUUUCACUAAGAAAGGAGUAGUUACGUAAAUACCGCUUGGCAUUUCAGCUCUGCUUUCACGUGCUGUGUCUCUUUACCGAAGCUACUGAAUUUUCCUCAAUUUCAAAUGUUCUGUAGAACGGGGAUCACAGUCCCCUUUAGGGUUUAUGGUAAGCACCGCGCGAAAAGCCCUUUAGCACAGAGCAGGCUGACGAUACCAGGUGCGCUCAACUUUAAACCAAAGUCACUGGCAGUUAAGAAAAGAAACCAGAACUGGCGGCCGGGCCGAGUCAUACCUCUGUGAUACCUUGGAUAUUCAUGAAGAUGAGGAAGAUCUGGAGGUAUGCUAUUUGUAUCAGAGAAGGAAUGUCUGCCAUUCUCCCAGAAAACAGUUCGUCAACCACAAGGACAUACAACCUUCAAACCAUUGAGGUGUUCCAGAUUUCGAGAAUACAGCUGUAGACGUCGGAUCAAGGAUAGAGUUUUAAUCAACAGGAGGAAUAAUAUGAUGGAGUUGCAUGCAACUCUGCAUCUCCGCGAGUGAACAAGAUAUAUGGAGAUAUCCUGAAAUUGGUCAUCUCGCCUCAACAUUUCCUUGAAGCUAAGUUCCUGAGAAAAAUAGGAGACUCCAGCCUCCAGAGCAUUGAGGUGCUGAUUCGGUUUGCUGCCACCAUGCAUGCUGCCCCCCUGUGGUCUGCCCCCAAGCCACAGUGAACUGUGUCCAUCAGAGUCCAGGAUCUUUGGAUAAUGGAUCAUCUUCAGACGAAGGCAAGAGCAUUGAUGAUAAUAUCCCUGAGUAUUGCUAGAUACUACAUUCUGGAAGGGAAUAAAAAGACAGCACAACCA